rnacentral:lncRNA from 1 species
CCAAAGUGCUAGGAUUACAGGUGUGAGCCACCACGCCUGGCCAGGAGUUAACUUUUAAGAGAGAGGUUUUUUUUCUUUUUAGAAGAUGUUUUACUAGGCUAGAUAAUUGUCUUGUUUUGAUCCUCUUCAAAGCAUGGUUUAUAAUCAACUAUAGAACUUUGACAGAUGCUCUCAAAUGCAGAUUUCUGAUAAUUUUGGAGAUUGUAACACUAGAAUAAAGGAAAAAUGUACAGGACUCAACUCAUGAAGAGCUGAAAUGUUCACAAAUAUCAAGCAAAAUAAAAAUUAACUGAGUGGACUGAACUAAUAGAAAACUGAAUUAAUCUUUUUUACUUUUGCUUGGAAUAUUGCUGAUCCUUGUUUUGUUUUUCAGUAAGUCAAGG